ACAGUGGAAAACAUAAAUGUUCGAUAACGGAAGCUGUGAUAAUAAAUAGGCCAUCGAAUCGUGCUCUUCUUCUUUUUCUUUGAAUCAUUAGAAGGCUCGUCCCACACACACAUACACGCACACAUGGCAAACCAAAAUCCUAAUCUAAUGGGCCAAAAUAAAUAUUUCUGUUUACCAGAUUUAAAAGCGAGAAAAAUUAAAUAGUUUAAAUUAAAUAAAUCGAUAUUUGUGUCCCCACUUUACGCAUUUAACUAAAGUGCUAAGCAAGAAUUUACCUGUGAAAGUGAAAACGUGACAACACGAUAAAACGAACGAGGCAAGCAAAACAAAAACGAGUGCAUAAGAAA